UGGAGUGAACUUCUCCUUUGUACUGGGAUUGUGAAUGAUGCAAAGAACCACAGCCGAGAAGAUACACUUAGAUUUGCUAUUGCCAGGGCUUUGCAACAGCAGAAGAGAUGUAUGAACACCAUUUUGUUUCCUGGAUUGAUUGAGCUGACUUCCCCUUCAGACUGUAGUCCUGGCUGACAAGUGUAAAGGACGAAUGAAGACUCUUACAUUUAAUAGAAACAGUAAAGGACAUGAGAGCUGUUUAGUUUAAUAGUGCUAACUGUUUGUUCUUUCUUGUUACUAACUUUCUUGAACAUAUUGAUUGGAUCAGAACCAUAUUUUACUAAACCAGUGGUUUGCAAUGAUCAGUUUAUUUCUACAUGAAGUUAGUUACUAUCCUACUCGGGUGUUAGUACUUUGCCAAUCUUAGUAUCCUCCACCCUAACUUUUGAAUAGUACUUCCUGCAACCAAGUCCAGGUACAUGCAGUAAGAAAAAAAUCAAUGAUCCUCAUCCCUGUUCCAGGACAACUCACCUACAUUAAUCGUUCCAGCAGGUUGUUUGUGGGAGCUUACAGCAAAUGACUGAGAAAUUUGACAUGUUGCAACUCCAAGUGUUGCAACUUCCACCCAGCAUCAAGAAGAUCAUAGCUGACCCUCUGCUCCAACUCAGUUUUCUGCCAGCAUCCUGUAAUCAGAUUGACAGCAGUGAUUGUGGAUCAGACCACUUCAGGAUGCUGGAUAUCUAUCUGGGCAUGUUCUGCAGUUUCAUUUUAACUGGCUACGUGGCAUCAGCUGCAAACAAUCUCUUGCUGAUUCCAGACCUUGCAUAAUAAGUGAACCAUCUACCACUCCGUUUACU